AUUCUCAUACCCGCACGUUGAAAAAAUACAUGUCUCCAUUCUCAUACCCGUUUGGGUAACAACCUUUGUACCUGUGUCCAGGGACGGACAUAAGGGGGGGCAAGUAGGGGCUGAGACCCCCCCCUCUUGUCGUAUUUUUUUUUUGAUACACUUGUUCUAGAUACAUAUAUACACACAUAAAUUGAUAUUUGAGAGAUGUGUUUAAAGAUUAGUAACUACCUUUUGGUGCAAAACAUGUACCCACAACAUAGUAAUUGUAACAAUUUACUUUAAAAUAUUUUGAUAACAUAUAUUAUACAUUACUAAAGUCCAAAUUUAAUUAAGUUAGUUCUGAUUAUUUGCUACAAGUGAGA
rnacentral:lncRNA from 1 species